AUUGAACGCUGGCGGCAUGCCUUACACAUGCAAGUCGAACGGCAGCGGACCUUCGGGUGCCGGCGAGUGGCGAACGGGUGAGUAAUAUAUCGGAACGUACCUUUCAGUGGGGGAUAACGUAGCGAAAGUUACGCUAAUACCGCAUAUUCUGUGAGCAGGAAAGCAGGGGAUCGCAAGACCUUGCGCUGAUUGAGCGGCCGAUAUCAGAUUAGCUAGUUGGUUGAGGUAAAGGACUCACCAAGGCGGACGAUCUGUAGCGGGUCUGAGAGGAUGAUCCGCCCACACUGGAACUGAGACACGGUCCAGACUCCUACGGGAGGCAGCAGUGGGGAAGUUUUGGACAAUGGGCGCAAGCCUGAUCCAGCCAUGCCGC
rnacentral:rRNA from 1 species